AGCUUUGCACAGUGGCAGUAUCAUGGCCAAUGAGGUUUAACCGAGGCACGAUUAUUGCUAAUUAAAAUUUAUAAAUGAAUUAUACACUCCUGAGUAACUGGAAAAUACUAUAAAUACUGAUACUAUACACUAGGAAGACAUUCAAUGUAUACAAAAAAAUAUUUCUCACUUGGCAAAUUUUGAAAAUACAUUUUUUUA
rnacentral:snRNA from 1 species